rnacentral:hammerhead_ribozyme from 1 species
GCACUGCUGAGGAGUCCCACACUAGAACGAAACAGCCGUUCAGUAC